UAGAGUUUGAUCAUGGCUCAGGAUGAACGCUAGCGGCAGGCCUAACACAUGCAAGUCGAGGGGUAUAAUUAGCUUGCUAAUUAGAGACCGGCGCACGGGUGAGUAACGCGUAUGCAACCUACCUAUUACAGGGGAAUAGCCAGAAGAAAUUCUGAUUAAUGCUCCAUGGUUUAAUUAAGUGGCAUCAUUUGAUUAAUAAAGAUUUAUCGGUAAUAGAUGGGCAUGCGUGUCAUUAGCUAGUUGGUAUGGUAACGGCAUACCAAGGCAACGAUGACUAGGGGUCCUGAGAGGGAGGUCCCCCACACUGGUACUGAGACACGGACCAGACUCCUACGGGAGGCAGCAGUGAGGAAUAUUGGUCAAUGGAGGCAACUCUGAACCAGCCAUGCCGCGUGCAGGAUGACGGUCCUAUGGAUUGUAAACUGCUUUUGUACAGGAAGAAAUGUUACUACGUGUAGUAAUUUGACGGUACUGUAAGAAUAAGGAUCGGCUAACUCCGUGCCAGCAGCCGCGGUAAUACGGAGGAUCCGAGCGUUAUCCGGAAUUAUUGGGUUUAAAGGGUUCGUAGGCGGUUGGAUAAGUCAGUGGUGAAAUCUCAUAGCUUAACUAUGAAACUGCCGUUGAUACUGUCUGACUUGAAUAGUAUGGAAGUAACUAGAAUAUGUAGUGUAGCGGUGAAAUGCUUAGAUAUUACAUGGAAUACCAAUUGCGAAGGCAGGUUACUACGUACUUAUUGACGCUGAUGAACGAAAGCGUGGGUAGCGAACAGGAUUAGAUACCCUGGUAGUCCACGCCGUAAACGAUGGAUACUAGCUGUUCGGACUUCGGUUUG
rnacentral:rRNA from 1 species